AUGGAGUGUAGGAGAUUGCUUCCAGUAUAGUCAUAGACACUAAUGCCCAAGGCCUUACAAAGCCAAAAGACAGAAGGCCCUGGAUAUAUAAGGGUAUUGUAGUCAGAAACAACUGAGGCAAAAAAGCCAUAUCAAAACAUGGGAACCCCAUUGGCUUUUUAGGGGGUUCCUGGGGAAACUGUAAGCAGGAUGGCUUUUGGAGUCACCUAGAGGUCUGUUCAUUGGUACUGCAGGGAAAAACUGGUCAUUGAAUUCUCUAAUGGAAAUUAUUUUUUUUUAAACCUUUACCUUCUAUGUUGGAGUCAAUACUAUGUAUUGGCUCCAAGGCAGAAGAGCAGAAAAGGCUAGGCAAUAGGGGUCAAGUGACUAGCCCAGGGUCACACAUCUAGGAAGUGUCUGAGGCCAGAUUUGAACCCAGGACCUCCUAUAUCUAGGUUUGGCUCUCAAUCUACUGAGCCACUCAGCUACCCUCUCUAAUGGACAUUCUAAAUGUCUCUGAGUGAAUGGCAGUUAGACUCCAAAAACAUAAUUUUCACAGUUUCUAGGUCCUUUUGUCCUUGUGAACUUGCCAAACUGUAAUAGUAAUAUGAUAAACUGUAAGGGAAAAUGACAAGAUGGAUGAUAGACUGUAUUCAACUUCCCUUAUUUUGUAACUGUUGCUCAAGCAAUUUGACUGAGUUUGUACUGAGGAGGGUUAUGUAAAAGGUUAAUUGAUGUAAUGGAGAGGUUUGUUGGUGGUAAAGAGAAAACAGGAUCCAGGAGAAACAGCUGAUGGUUUAAGGUUGGCUCAGAGAGAGAAGGGGUUUUUUAGUAAGUUUUCCCCCUUCAGCUUCAGCUUCCCCUCCUAUGGCUGCUCUCACAACAUUGUCUCUUGCCCUGCUCCACUACUAGAGCCUAAGGUUUAUUCUCAGGAAGAUGUCUCUCCCCCCUCAAGCUGUAACACUCACACUUGAGUCAAUUUGGGAAAGGACAACAACUUUAAUAUAACUUAAGUCAACUAGGGUAACACAAAGAAAAUGGCUGGCAGAAAUAGAAUGGGAAAGGAAAGUUGUUCUUUUUUCUAACUACCCCUUUCUUUCCCUCCUUGAGUUUUGGGGGAAUUCAGGCCUUGGCAGCCUGAGUCCCCUGAGGAAGAGUCAGGUUGCUUGGCCCUGGUCUUUGACCCCCUGGCUACAGUUCAGACCCCGAACACCAGGAGCUGUGAGGGGCUGUUCUUGGUGCAUCUGUCUCUGCAUGGAUUCUUGGGCUUCAAUCAAGUUUUCUUCUGGUGUGUUAUCAUGAGU
rnacentral:lncRNA from 1 species